CGCUUGGGGGAGUACGUUCGCCAAGACUGAUAACUCAAAGGAAAUUGACGGGGGCCCCGCACAAGCGGUGGAGCAUGUGGUUUUAAUUCGAUAGCAACGCGAAGAACCUUACCAGGUCUUGACUAUCCCGUUGACCACUGUAGAGAUAUGGUUUUCCCUUCGGGGACAACGGUGACAGGUGGUGCAUGGUUGUCGUCUAGCUCGUGUCGUGAGAUGUUGGGUUAAGUCCCGCAACGAGCGCAACCCUUGAUCUUAGUUGCCAUCAUUUAGUUGGGCACUCUAAGGUGACUGCCGGUGACAAACCGGAGGAAGGUGGGGAUGACGUCAAAUCAUCUAUGCCCCUUAUGACCUGGGCUACACACGUGCUACAAUGGACGAUACAAACGGUUGCCAACUCGCGAGAGGGAGCUAAUCCGAUAAAGUCGUUCUCAGUUCGGAUUGUAGGCUGCAACUCGCCUACAUGAAGCCGGAAUCGCUAGUAAUCGCGGAUCAGCAUGCCGCGGUGAAUACGUUCCCGGGCCUUGUACACACCGCCCGUCACACCACGAGAGUUUGUAACACCCGAAGUCGGUGGGGUAACCUUUAUGGGGCCAGCCGCCGAAGGUGGGAUAGAUGAUUGGGGUGAAGUCGUAACAAUGGUAGCCGUAUGCGGCAAGUGCGGCUGGAUCACCUCGCUUUACAACUAGAUGGCAUUCGCGAGUACCGG
rnacentral:rRNA from 1 species